rnacentral:tRNA from 1 species
AGUAAAAUGGCUGAGAAUAUAGGCGGUGGAUUGUAAAUCUAUUUACGAAAGUUUAUUUCUUUUACUA